UGAGGAUCGAACUCGUGCUUGUGCUUGCAAGGCAGGCACCGGAACCAUUGAGCUAAAUCCCCAGCCCAGCCUUCUGCCUUUUAUAUCCCCAUCUCGUCUUUCUGCCUGGGACACAUACAUGAUGCUCCAGAUGAAGCGCCUAUCUUGUGACUGUCAGGGAUGAUAAAUACAUGCUUUUGAAUAUAUUACUGUCAAUCAAACCCUGGCAUUAAUGGAGAGCCACUGCAGAGUUUCUACUAC
rnacentral:lncRNA from 1 species